rnacentral:rRNA from 1 species
CCUACGGGUGGCUGCAGUGAGGAAUAUUGGUCAAUGGGCGCGAGCCUGAACCAGCCAAGCAGCGUGAAGGACGACUGCCCUACGGUUUGUAAACUUCUUUUAUAAAGGAAUAAAGUCAGGCACGUGUGCCUUUUUGUAUGUACUUUAUGAAUAAGGAUCGGCUAACUCUGUGCCAGCAGCCGCGGUAAUACGGAGGGUCCGAGCGUUAUCCGGAUUUAUUGGGUGUAAAGGGAGCGUAGAUGGGUUGAUAAGUCAGUUGUGAAAGUGUGGGGCUCAACCGUAGCAUUGCAAGUGAUACUGGCAGUCUUGAGUACAGUUGAGGUAGGCGGAAUUCGUGGUGUAGCGGUGAAAUGCGUAGAGAUCACGAAGAACUCCGAUUGCGAAGGCAGCUUACUAAGCUGUAACUGACGUGGAUGCUCGAAAGUGUGGGUAGCAAACAGGAUUAGAUACCCGAGUAGUC